CGGGGGUGCUUGCCGACAAGAAUUGCGAUACGGGCAGGCUGAGAUAAUACCCAUAGACCUGAUCCGGAUAAUACCGGCGGAGGGAUGUAGAAU
rnacentral:ncRNA from 1 species